GGUUCGGGCCGGGGCUGGGCCGGGUUCCGGCCCGGGGCCGGGCCAGGGCAGGGCCGCAGUGAUUUUCAAAGGAGAUUCUCAAUUGAACUACUGCCAUAACUUUCUGAAGAGUCUUUCUAAUUGGUCCAAAACUUGGAGGAGUUGGUGUGAGAACUGGACUUUGUGCUGUCAACAUUCUGAGUGUGGAGCCAGUGCUAAAUCCGUGCAACUAUAUGGGAAUGGAAUAAAUGACACUAUUUAAACAAGGAAA